ensembl:snRNA U2 U2 spliceosomal RNA
AUUGCUUCUCGGCCUUUUGGCUAAGAUCAAGUGUAGCAUCAUAUUACUUGCAAUUAAUGAAAAAUCUCCCUCAUCUUUU